rnacentral:rRNA from 1 species
GCAGCAGCCACGGGAAUACGGAGGGUGCAAGCGUUAAUCGGAAUUACUGGGCGUAAAGCGCACGCAGGCGGUCUGUCAAGUCAGAUGUGAAAUCCCCGGGCUUAACCUGGGAACUGCAUUUGAAACUGGCAGGCUAGAGUCUUGUAGAGGGGGGUAGAAUUCCAGGUGUAGCGGUGAAAUGCGUAGAGAUCUGGAGGAAUACCGGUGGCGAAGGCGGCCCCCUGGACAAAGACUGACGCUCAGGUGCGAAAGCGUGGGGAGCAAACAGGAUUAGAUACCCGUGUAGUCCCUGUCUCUUAUAU